rnacentral:tRNA from 1 species
UGCGGGGUGGUGCAGUGGUAGUCACGCCUCUCUUUGGAAGAGGAAACCUAGGUUCGAAUCCUAGCCCCGCAGCCA